rnacentral:rRNA from 1 species
GACGAACGCUGGCGGCGUGCUUAACACAUGCAAGUCGAACGGAAAGGCCCUGCUUUUGUGGGGUGCUCGAGUGGCGAACGGGUGAGUAACACGUGAGUAACCUGCCCUUGACUUCGGGAUAACUUCAGGAAAAUGGGGCUAAUACCGGAUAGGAGCUUCUGCUGCAUGGUGGGGGUUGGAAAGUUUCGGCGGUUGGGGAUGGACGCGCGGCUUAUCAGCUUGUUGGUGGGGUAGUGGCUUACCAAGGCUUUGACGGGUAGCCGGCCUGAGAGGGUGACCGGCCACAGUGGGACUGAGGUACGGCCCAGACUCCUACGGGAGGCAGCAGUGGGGAAUAUUGCACAAUAGGCGGAAGCCUGAUGCAGCGACGCCGCGUGCGGGAUGACGGCCUUCGGGUUGUAAACCGCUUUCGCCUGUAACGAAGCGAGAGUGACGGUAAUGGGUAAGGAAGCACCGGCUAACUACGUG